GAUCAGGGAGGAAAUUGAUGCUCGGCACCGCAGUGAGACUGUGAGUUACAGGGACUUCCCCUGCUGCUGCUGUUCCGUGCUCUCACACACUCACUUUUAGCUUGGGUGACUUCAGUGAAGAGUUUUUCAGAAAGCAUGGAAAACAUGUCAAGAGAUACAGAGUGUGGGGUUUCACCUUGUCAGAAUGUUUGGCAUACACGGACUUUAAGAAACAAACAAAAUCACCUUUUGCCAUUUACACCGAGAGAUUUUACAAUUGUUUUUCAGCGGCUACCUUGUAAUGUCAGAGCAGAUGAGGAUUGCUGGUGGAGAAGAGAGUUUGUUUACUUUUGUGUUCUUUUAGCAUUUUAUGCAAUAAAAAGUUAUUUGUGCAUUUUA